rnacentral:lncRNA from 10 species
UUCAGAAAGGAGCAGACUGUGGAGCAAAGGUGGUAGAGAAAACGAACCCUACAGAACCAGUUGGAGUGGUUUGCCGAGUGGAUGGAGUUUACCAGGUGGUAGAAUAUAGUGAGAUUUCCCUGGCAACAGCUCAAAAACGAAGCUCAGACGGACGACUGCUGUUCAAUGCGGGGAACAUUGCCAACCAUUUCUUCACUGUACCAUUUCUGAGAGAUGUUGUCAAGUAUGGGCAAGAUGGGGGCCUUUUAAAAUUAUAUUUAUUGUUAAUCAGAAACUAAGACACUUGAGAGGGAUGCAGACACCCCAAGUCCAUAUCCCACAGAAUUCAUCUUUCCUGAGGAUCACUUAUCAAAUGGACAUUUAUCUCAUGUUGUGAUUGUUUUUAGUAAGAUGUAUUGUAAGGUGGGAAUCAUCGGAGCCCAUUCCCCAGCGCAUUAAUGGGAGGCCAAAGCAUUUCUCCCUUCUCACCCUCCCACCCCCAACUAUGUGCUAGGUUCUGUUGAAGCAAAGCAUAAGAAAUGAAACUUUCUUUACCACAGCUGUGAGCUUUUUAAAAAUACAGAUGUUCACCUUACACCAACUGAAUUAGAAUUUCAGGAGGUGGGUUCGGGGCAUCUAUAUUUUUAGAAAGCUGCCCACAAAGUUCUAAUUCAGCUGAUU